UGGGGAAUAUUGGUCAAUGGGCGAAAGCCUGAACCAGCAAUGCCGCGUGAGUGAUGAAGGCCUUCGGGUUGUAAAGCUCUGUCAGCGGGAACGAAGAAGCCGGUUAAUACCCGGUGGUGACGGUACCCGCAAAGGAAGCACCGGCUAACUCUGUGCCAGCAGCCGCGGUAAUACAGAGGGUGCAAGCGUUGUUCGGAAUUACUGGGCGUAAAGCGCGUGUAGGCGGUUUGGUAAGUCGGUUGUGAAAGCCCUGGGCUUAACCCAGGAACUGCAUUCGAAACUGCCGGACUAGAGUAUCGGAGGGGAUGGCGGAAUUCCCGGUGUAGAGGUGAAAAUUCGUAGAUAUCGGGAGGAACGACCUGUGGCGAAGGCGGCCAUCUGGAAGAUUACUGACGCUGAGACGCGAAAGCGUGGGGAGCAAACAGGAUUAGAUACCCUGGUAGUCCACGCCGUAAACGAUGAGUGCUAGGUGUUGCGGGUAUGACCCCUGCAGUGCC
rnacentral:rRNA from 1 species